rnacentral:lncRNA from 1 species
UUUUCUUUUUUUUUUUUUUUUUUGGUACUGGGAAUCGAACUCAGAAUCUUGCACUUGUCAGGCAGGCACAGCCGCACUGAACUACAUCCCCAGCCCUUUGGAGUCCAUUCCACCAGUAAUACUGAGCAAGUUUUUUGUCCACAUAUUUAGUUGGAUAGAGGUGUAAAAACAUUUAAUCAGUUACCUGAAAACACUGGAUUGGUUCAACUCCAACUCUGCCACGGACACUCAGCUAUGAACUUUACCCUGGGUUUUCUCUAAAAUGUUAAGAGAACAAUACAUAGAAUAAGGAAUAUAGAAUGACUGAGGUGUUGUCUUUUUUUUUUUUUUUUUUUUCAUUUUAAAUGAGAAUACCUGUCAGGUUGGAGUACACAAAACUUAUGGGGCUGUAAAGUUUUACUAUUUUUGUUGUAAGUUUAUUGUUUCAUACUUAAGAAUCAGAAAUGUUUCUGCUUGUGGAAUCAGGUUUGCUUAAUUGACUCUUAGUUGGGGCUGUUGCAUGCACACUGAGCAGCAGUGAGUGCUUGUUCUCAGCCUUGCCUCCUUACCACCUCAUGUAUACAGGUUCUUUUCUUAACCCGUUAAGCAACAAACUAGUUUUAUUUGUAUUUCUUUGACUACCAGUGAAACAGCCCUUGUAAUGUCUCACUGGGCAUAUGUGUUACUUUAAUCCCCAGUUCAUGCUCAUGUUUACCUGUUAGCCUCUGCUGCCUUCUGUCACCAAGAGCGCACCACCCACUUUUCCUUUUGAGCGCCCCCACAUCCCUGCAAGUAAACCUGCGCGUGCGCAGUGUGGCAUUGCUCCACCCUCAGCUACCACAGCGGCCCAGUUACCCGGGGCAGUGCCCUCCCCCAGAGGAAAUGGCCAGCGAAGGUCACUGAGGUACAAGCACGUAUUUUCUGAGGCUUUUUUAGAUAUCAAAGAGACACCUUCUUGCAAGUAGUAUGUCGCGAGGAGUAACAUUUCUUGCUGAAGCUAAUUUUUCUAAUAAAAGUCAACCUGAGGUGGUACCUAGAAAACAAAAGGAACUCUGAAUUGGAGAACCAGAUGCAAUCUGGAACCUCUGGAUGGAAUCAGACCUGAAGGGAGAUGUUUCUGGAUCUUCACCAACAUAGAUCAAUACAUUCAUUUUUUGUAUGAGCAACUAUAACUUGGAUUGGGGAACAACUAAAUAUACAAUAUAUGUGUGUUUUACUGAGGAUUGAACACGGC